rnacentral:rRNA from 1 species
UACGUAGGGGGCUAGCGUUGUCCGGAAUCAUUGGGCGUAAAGCGCGCGUAGGCGGCCAGAUAAGUCCGGUGUGAAAGUCACAGGCUCAACCUGUGAAUGCCGCUGGAAACUGUCUGGCUAGAGUCUCGGAGAGGAUCGUGGAAUUCUCGGUGUAGAGGUGAAAUUCGUAGAUAUUGGGAAGAACACCAGUGGCGAAGGCGGCUAACUGGUCCAGUACUGACGCUGAGGUGACGAAAGCGUGGGGGAGCGAAACAGG